UGUGUCGUCAUCAUGACGUAUUCCCAGUGGUGAACGCAAAGCAUUUUGGGAAUCCGCGGCACAAGCAUUAGGCGCUACUUAUUUGCAUGAGGGAAGAACACAGUGUUCAAGAUGCUGUCUACCUAUAAACUGAAAUAGUCGUUCUCACGAUAGAAGUGGCAUAAAGCUUAAGAAUGGAAUAUCAUUUUAUCGUUUUCCAGCGUGGAAAAAUAAUAGUACAAGCCAUGUUUCAGAGGUGACAAAAAGGCGCCGAAUGGCAUGGAUAGCGGCGGCAAGGAGGCCAAGAUUACGUUCGAUAACACUCCACCACACAUGAUGGUGUUCAAAGCAUUUUCACAAAGACACUACACCUGCACCUGAGAUGGAAGGUCCUGUGAAUCCACCUCCAUCACCGGACACUGUCCACACCACUCAUGAGACUGAGCUGAAGACUUUGCUGGAUAAAAUUGUGGUUGUGUGCUGUGCUUUGACCAAUGUGUCCAAGUAUUGUUGUGAAGGCGUCAUGUUAGAAUUAUACACCAUGCUCACAUCUAAUAUGUAAAUGUUUUUUGUUUU